UCAAAAGUCCUUUUUGUGUCAUAAAAUGAGUUCCUUGUCAGCUGAUGUCUGCGGAGUUUGUCAGAAAGUUAUGUGCGUGUUCAAAACUUUGAGCGGAGAUCAGAC